GUGCUUUUGAUCAACACGGCUGCCCUCUGAUCGUGUUCCCGGCAGACGAACAAGCCAAACUCUCCUCAGAACUCAGCCAAGCAGAAGUGGUGGACUUCAUAAAUUACUUUCUGUGUCUGCACAAGUACGUGGAGUCUACAUCCUUGUGUGUGUUUCUGUGUGAGUGAGUGAGACUGGGAUGGAUGGAUGGAUUGAUGGAUGGAUUUGUUCUCUCGCCACAGUAAGAGGCAGGAGAAGAGGAGUUUGGUGUCGGCGGUGGCUGAUCUGAGGUCUGCGUCGCUCCAAACCACCAGAUUCGUGGCCGAGACGCUGCUCCUGCUUGAGCGGAACAAGCGGACCGUCCACAGUGUGUACAUCGUUCAGCCCAAAAAGAAGGACGGUGUCAAGCUGCUGCUGAAGCUGCUGGCUCCCUCAAAGUCUCACACGGCCUCGUUCAAGAAAGUGCUGCUGAAAGAAAUCCCCGAGCUCUCCAACCACAUUGACCGAAGCCAGCUAACUGCAUCGUUGGGCGGCUACCUGGUCUACUGUCACCACAGUUGGGUGGCCUUCAUCAAGGAGAUCAAUGCGUUUGUUCAGGAGUUUCUGUCCGUGGUCCAGCGGUUGCCCUCGUGCAUCUCCACCCUGCAGGCGCUGUCCAGGCUGCCUCCGCCCUCCACCUUCCACGAGCUCCGACACUUCUGCUCCACCAACGAAGCCAAGUUCCAGCAGCUGAGGAGGGAGCUGGGCCUGGAUGAACUGCUGAACCACUGCGAGGGUGUCGCGGAGAAGCUACGUCACCCCGAGAAGGAGCCGUGCUACCAGGCGAUGGCCGGCACCGCCCUCUUCACCCACACCGCCUUCGACAUGCUGCAGAACCACAGCAGAAUAACUGCUGCUAUGGAAAAAGUGGAGCUUCUGUGGCAGCAGGCCUUUUCUAAGGCCCGCCUCCAGUUGCAGAUGUUCCAGCUGCGAGAGGACGCCCUGCAGGCGAGUCUGUGCUUUCACGUUUUAAACAAGCCGCGUUUGCCUCUUAAAUUUCGGACUGCUUCCACGAACCAAGAUGUGUUUCCUCUUUGUGUCCAGAUCACAGAGCAGAUCAAGACUCUCCUGCAAGAGAAGCUCCAGCCUUACAAAAUAGAGAUCGCCAGGGAUGCUGCGAGGGCAGUGAUGUUGGUGUCAGAAUUUGAAGUGUCCAUUCACACGCCUGCAAUGGCCCUCGUUGGCUGCGCUGAGGAUGUGAUCCACGCAGUGGCGGAGGUCCUUCUGUACGACGGGCAGACCAGUGAGCGCUGGGUUCUGGAUGUGGAGCGGCUGAAAGAGAAACUCUACUCUGCUGUGAACUUCAUCCUCCGAACCCUCAGAGCGGUUUCCAGCUACCACAAACACUACAACAAGGCCGACAGCUGGUACCGCCUGGUCCUGUGCGAGAACGUCCUCCAGCAGCUGCUGUCCGGCGUCGCCGGAGACGACGUCCAGAGCAGGAACUGGGGGACGAUCCCUGCGUGGAGGUACAAGAUGUCCUCUUUUCUGAAGACAAAUCCACCUCCAGAUACGGAGGAGUUGGUCCAUCUGGCUCAUCUGUCCAAAGCCAUUCCGGAUGACGAGAUCCAGGAGGCGGGCAAGCGGAUGUCUCACAGGUGA
ensembl:lncRNA